rnacentral:rRNA from 1 species
GACAGAGGAUGCAAGCGUUAUCCGGAAUGAUUGGGCGUAAAGCGUCUGUAGGUGGCUUUUAAGUCCGCCGUCAAAUCCCAGGGCUCAACCCUGGACAGGCGGUGGAAACUACCAAGCUGGAGUACGGUAGGGGCAGAGGGAAUUUCCGGUGGAGCGGUGAAAGUGCGUGAGAGAUCGGAAAGAACACCAACGGCGAAGGCACUCUGCUGGGCCGACACUGACACUGAGAGACGAAAGCUAGGGGAGCGAAUGGG